UUGACUACGCGCACCAUUUGAUUGGUCCCCAUCGGGCAGCUUUGCUGGCCGCAGGGGAACCCCAAACCCCCUUUUGCAUUAGCAUCAAACCUCUAAAAACAAACCUAAUUAUUUACAACUUUCAACAAUGGAUCUCUUGGUUCUGGCAUCGAUGAAGAACGCAGCGAAAUGCGAUAAGUAGUGUGAAUUGCAGAAUCAGGAAUCAUCGAAUCUUUGAACGCACAUUGCGCCCCUUGGAAUUCCAUGGGGCAUGCCUGUCCGAGCGUCAUUUACAACCUCAAGCUCUGCUUGGUGUUGGGCGUCUGUCCCCGCUCCCCGCGCGGACUCGCCCCAAAGGCAUUGGCAGCGGUCUUGCCAGCUUCUCGCGCAGCACAUUGCGCUUCUCGAGGCUUUUGGCGGAUCGGCGUCCAUCAAGUCACACCCACAGUUUGACCUCGGAUCAGGUAGGGAUACCCGCUGAACUUAAGCAU
rnacentral:rRNA from 1 species